rnacentral:tRNA from 1 species
CGGGGUGUAGCGCAGUCGGCUAGCGCGCAGCGUUUGGGACGCUGAGGCCGGAGGUUCGAGUCCUCUCACCCCGA